UGAGUUUAAAUGGGUUUAAGAAAUGCAUUAUCUGUCUUACUAAAGAGGGACUUUUAUUUUGACGGGUGUUGUAGUUUACGGGGAAGGAAAGGGAGAGCACGCAGUUCAAGUUCAUCAGAGUUGUGUCGCAGAUAACGUUUGCCACUUUAAGCACCCCCCGAAAAUGCAUAAGCUCUUACGGUGAUUUUUGGAGUCUUACGGUGAUUUUUGAGUGAAAACGGACUCAAUAAACUUCAUUAACAUCAGUAAA